rnacentral:tRNA from 1 species
UUGGGUGUAGGUCAGUGGUAGAGCACUUACAUAGCAUGAGUGAAGUCCUGGGUUCAAUCCUCAGCACCAAAA